GGAAUUUUUCGGGGAGACAACACUCCCUUAUUUCCUUUGACAAUUGCUCAUCCUUGAACGUAUAAGUCAGGGACAAUCAGACCAGGUUCAGAGAUGCAUCAUAGGAGUUGACAGAUACUGGUUCGUUAACGGAUAUUGGUUCUCUAACCGUUGCCUUAGCUGCUCUUAUGAAUGACUCAUUAAGAUUGUCCCAGGUAGAUGAAAUGAUUUAGAGUUGGAGAUGACCGCAUAUAUGAGGUGUUUGUACUUCCAUUGUAGAUACCAUAAUCUCCACCAUACACGUGGCGACCAUCAACAACUGAAACAUGAUAAUAUGAAGCAACGCAGUGUACCGUAUCAAGCGCAAGACUGCUUCAGUGUGACGCCAAGGUCACUUUAGUAAUGAACAAAACAUCCCUCCCGUUUAUAAGCAGAUGCGAUUAGGUUUAGGGAGGGGGCGGCUUCGGCUUUCUCUCUCUACCUCUCUGAAUUUCAUCAAUGGAGUUUUUCUUCAUACCAGAUGUAACGGAUUUAAUACUUAAUAAACUAUCCCAUUAGCCCCGUGGAUGUAGACAAUCCGUCGAACCACGUAUAUUGCUGUGUUAAUUUCUAUUUUAUUUUACUGCACUUAAACUUGUUCAUGAUUUGAUUUUGUAUCUUGUUUUUAUUUAUUACUUUAUCAUAUGAUUCAAUUGAUUGUGAUACUGGAUGAAUGGUAUUCACAAUUUGGCGCUAGAAACAGGAAAUGGGUAAAGAAUUUAUUCUACCUGUUCUACAUCUAUUACUUUUCAAUCUUUUCUUUUUGAAAUUGGUAUUCAAUUUCACAAGUUUUCAAUCUACUGUCCUUAAAAAUGAUUCAAUAAUCCCUUCUUUAGGACUUGUUUUCUGUAAAAAAAAAAAAAACAUAUUCUACUUAAGCCUAUUAUCUGUGCAGAUUUUAUAAGCCUUUUGAAACAUAUUGAUGAAACCCCUCAUCUUCCUGAGUCUUUAAAAGGGGUCUUCACCUUUUUAAUACAUUUUAUCCAGAAACAGCAUUUAUCUGAAGUUUUCUUAGAUGCAGCGCCUUGUUCCUGUGCAUUGAAUGGUUCUUGAGGUGCUAAAAUGUUACAUAGACUUAUGAGAUUUGUUCCCUAAUGAUAAAGGAGCUUUGUAUUCAGUUUUUGAACAUACCUUUGACCUGUUUGGGAAAAUGGUUCAAUGAACCAUAGUGUUAAGAUUUGAUCUGUACCGGAUCUAUUUCUACUAGUUUGGAUUUGUUUAUAGCAGCGGUGUUGAUCUCUAACCCAACACUUUGGUUUCAUUGUUUUAUCCAGACCCUAUUGUUUUCAUGAUGUGAUCGGCAAAGCUACUCUUUGAUUCUCAACCUAUAAUAACUUACGUUUCAGUUCUUAGUGUCUUGUUUACAAAUACACUUCAUUUUACAGGGAUUAAGCACAUACUAGUCUAAUAUAAUGCUAUAUGUUGUCAGUUUAAUCUAAUUCUAUAUGUUGUCGAUUUUUGUUGACUUUAUUUAAUGUAGUGAACUGCUUGAUUGUGAUUUUGUUCCCGGCAAAAAGAUACCUACGAUCACCCAAAACCCGUGCAGUGGUGAUGUGGUUGCUGCGUACAAGUUGCUGUCGACAGUCAAUGGUUAGAUGGGUCACUCGACAAAGCCGCUGCCUACCCGCUGGAGAUUUGUGCAGCUAACACAACAAAGGGGAGCAGAUGCAGACCAGUUCAUUUGGAGAAAGGGGGACUUUUGGGGUCAAGAAGAGAGGGAGGAGUAAGAAAUCCACUACCUCUCAAGAGAGGAAUAAGAGUUGGGUUGUUUCGCUACCUUCGUUCCAUCAAGAACUUUGGCUACUAAAUACUCUCAAUGGACUUCAUUAUCAUUAAUUGAGAUUUCAAACUGUACACAAAGGAGCAACGAUGAUAACUCCCCUAUUCCGUCGUCGCAGUCACGAUCCCAGCCGGAUUGCCAAGCUAGAAUAACAGUGGAAGGCAACUAAAAGGGCGUGGCUCAAGCUCAGUUAAAAGCUAUUGCUGGAAUACGGCUAAAAGCUAUGGUUUAUCUCAAGCUCCGCUCCUCAACCUGAUGAUGCCAAGUUUUCUGACGAGGCGCCAAAGUCCAAACUCUACGGUGGACCGAAGCCAAAUUCUGCUGGCAAUGACGAUUGCUCCCGACGUACAAGCUACCUGACGGGAAGGUUCUCCAAAGCUCCUAGAAAGGACCAUGAGAGUUUACAAACCCAAAGUCGAAGUUAACCAAAGUCAUGGUACCAUCUCUUUCGAAACAGUAUUGCAGCCAGGGUGCCCUAUCUUACGAUGCCGACGAUGAUACAAACCGACGUGCAAACCCAAUGAUAGCUCCUGUCCUUAUGCCGAUGAUCAUGUGCACGACGAUGAUGCAAGGUCCCGUGAUGAUCAUGCCAAGCCCUGCAACGAAGGUAAUAUGUUCAACGACGAUGAUGAAAGCAAAUUGGAGCAUAGUUCACCCGGCGCUCAUCUCAGUCCCCAUGUUGCGUACAAGCUCUACUCCGACAUGCCAAUCGGAAGAGAGCGCCAAAACUCAAUUCAAAGACUACUUCGAUGGGGGAAUGGUGACUGGACAAGAAGAGUUAAGAGAAUAUGCAGUUCAGCUCACAAAUCGUUCUUUGUUUCUCCUUCUUUAUUAUUGGAGUAGUGUUACUGAUGUUAUUUAUUUGAGUAGCGGAUUUAGCUUUGUUUCUUCUACUAACGAGUACAAAGUGAUACACAUAAUGGUGGAUAUAGAGUUUGUACAAGUCCUGUACUUAUUACUUCUUAUACUUCAUGCUUCUUGUCGAAGAAGAGUACUUACUCUGGUGUUCUUUUGUUAUA